UACGGGGGGGGCAAGCGUUGUUCGGAAUUACUGGGCGUAAAGGGCGCGUAGGUGGCCAACUAAGUCGGACGUGAAAUCCCCAGGCUCAACCUGGGAACUGCGUCUGAUACUGGAUGGCUUGAAUCCGGGAGAGGGAUGCAGAAUUCCAGGUGUAGCGGUGAAAUGCGUAGAUAUCUGGAGGAAUACCGGUGGCGAAGGCGGCAUCCUGGACCGGCAUUGACGCUGAGGAGCGAAAGCCAGGGGAGCAAACGGG
rnacentral:rRNA from 1 species